CUCGUAGGUGGUUUGUCGCGUUGUCCGUGAAAACUCACAGCUCAACUGUGGGCGUGCGGGCGAUACGGGCAGACUGGAGUACUGUAGGGGAGACUGGAAUUCCUGGUGUAGCGGUGGAAUGCGCAGAUAUCAGGAGGAACACCGGUGGCGAAGGCGGGUCUCUGGGUAGUAACUGACGCUGAGGAGCGAAAGCGUGGGGAGCGAACA
rnacentral:rRNA from 1 species